UUCAAUAAAUGUUUUUUAACUCCGCAGUGUCCAGUUAGAAAACCUGUGACAAGUCGGAUGCCACUUGAAAAUUACUUAGUUACUUCCUUUAUUAUUGGGAGAGUACAGAGACAAAGAAAUAAAGGAAAUAUGAAAUCAAGAAGAACACGAAACGUGAUUUAAAUUAAAUUGAAGUUGACAAUAGUGUUGACAAUAAUUCAGCUCCUUUGCGAAGUUCGUUCAAAUGUGCUUUGAUUGAAAUACCGCCUAAUUUUGAUUCCUUUCAUAUUGGUUCUAUGAACUUGGUUUGUAGGCAUUGUUUAGCUAAGCAUUUUGCUAAAGAGUCUACAAUGCGUGAAAGAAAUUUCUGCACUAUGUAUUGUCAUAAGGAUAACGUAUAUCUUCCACUAUUAACACAAAAUAAUAUUUUUUAUUCCAUUGUAUGACGGUCUCACAUCAAAUGAUAACAAUAUAAAAAAAAAGUCUGAAAAUUAUUUCGACUAUAUUUGAAGCUACAAUUCGGCUUAUGCUAGGGUCAGUUUGGAAGCUAAUAUUUCUGACACAGUUUUAAGAGGAACUUAUCAUUGUAUUUUUACGAUGUCUGUUACGAUACCGCUGUUCAAUAUAGAAUGCGACAGUAAUCAAAUAAAACUCUCAAUGCUGUUUUGAUGAGACAAAUUUCUGUUGAAUUGGAUAAAAAUAAUUCAUUUAUUCGUUCAUUUCGAACAAUGAAGGAACAUUGUGAUAGAGUAUGCAAUGCACAGAAAGAGAUUUGUAAGGCAAUUACCGUGAAUCGUGAUUCAGAUAUAUGAAGACAUAAUGAUGCAACUUUCUUAUGUACACACAUAUGAUUUCGUUAGAUGGGAGUAUAUCGUUUCAAUACAAAACUAAUUGAAGAUUUUAGUUCCUUGGGUAUUUAGCGACAAAUCGCUGUUUCAUUAGAAAU